rnacentral:lncRNA from 1 species
GUAGUAUGACUAGUCUUUUGACCUGCGAUGCCAUAGCUGCUCACAGUGAGACUGCUGAAGUUUGACUAUACAUAAAUAUGGUCUCAAUGAAUUCAUAUAGUAGAUGUUGAUGAUAGUUGAUCCACUGUAGAAGUAGGAUGCACAUCUAGAUGGAAUAUAUCGAUCCUAGCAGAAGAGAGUAAUCCUAUAGAAUUUGAAAG